UGUUUGCAUGAAGGGAAACAGAAAAGAUAGUUUUGCUCAAAGAGGCCUUUGCAACACUGUAGACCUUCCUCCUUGGGUGCUGAUCUGCCCCUUUUGCAAUGCUGUAGUGAAACUCCUGCAUUCGGAGUGGAGAGAAGAGGCAGAAGUUCUGAAUGAACUUGGUCUUCAUGAAGUUGUUGGAUGAAAGAGUUUGACCUCCAACCGGAUUCCUCAGACUGCCUCUCAUCCAGCCCAGUCUUCCAGGAUAAGUUAUCUGGAUAUUUGGGAAUCUUCAUCUUCUUGUCCUUGAUGCUGUUCCCCAGCAGACUAACAGAGCAGCGCUGCGGCCAUAACUGACUGAUAGAAGAGGAAAAUCCUGCCUCUACACUCAUCAGAACACCUGAGGAGUCUGCUUUGUUCUGCCUGGACCAACCAGUCUGAGGUCAGACAGACAUGCUCAGAUGGAGACAGGUGCACCAGUGGUAGAGAGGAAGAGAGACAAGACGUGGUACCAUGAGAACUGCAGAACUUUAAACUGGCUCCUCCUAGGACCCAGGAUCUCAUGAAUUAAAACCGGUCUGCACCCGCGCUCUGAGCCAAAAACCCGAAAGGCUCCAAGGAGAAGAGCUGGGACACGAUCAGGAGACAGGAGACAAACACCCUCUCAACACACAGGCCCCCAAGAGUCAGGACAUGAACCAGGGACUUACCUCAAACACAAACAAACAAACAACAACUAAUAACAACAAUACGUAACACGAAUCAUGAUCUGGCCCCGGUAGCUGGGCUGAACCGUAUAUAAAGCAGACAGAGCAGGUGGAUAACAUGAAUGGUAAUUAGAGAGCGGGGAGGGAACAGCAGGUGAAUGGAGUGAGUAAUUAGAUCAGCUACUGCGGCAAAUUCUCACCUUAGAUUAGAUUUUCUGAAAAAAAAACCCGAUAUGAUUACUGAGGAAAAACCAGCUUCAUAUUUAUUCCUCCUCCUUUCCAAACUGAA